GGUUUUUCUUGCAGGUGGAGUAGUAGGAACAAAAGUAGAUAUUUCAUGGGAGCUCUCUGACAUGUUUCCAGAUGAUCUUCCUUAUGGAUUGUACCUAUGUGUUACUCAAAAGCCCCAACUGCUCAUAAGAGGGACAAGAAGAAGGAUAUGGGAGAGUAACUUGAACAACCACAAAUUGAAGAGGCUGGGUUUGAAUCCUGCAUCAUGACUUUGAAGGAGAUCACUGCAUUUUAACCUCCUUAGAAGAAUUUGCCUGUGAGCCUUGUGCAAUCAGGAC